rnacentral:lncRNA from 1 species
ACCCGAUACUUCAAUCUGAAAAGUGAAUAAUAAAUGGCAAAGAACUAGUGAUUAAAUAGGAAUUAACUAGAAUUAAAAGAGACAACUAGUUAAAAAAGUACAAUGCAAACUGAGUUGGUUGAACCGGUCCUGAAACAUGAAGUGUCACUUCCUUGAAGAAUGCUAUCUGGCUGGUUGUAUAUUUCCUUUGCAUGUACUAUGUUAUCCUUGCUUGUACAUUCUUGUUUUGACUGUAUCCGUGGUUGUAUCCCACACUUGUAUCUGGUAUCAGUUAUUUAAUAUAAUAUUUCUUCUUUCUACCCCAAAAAAAAAAACAAAAGGAAUGCUAUCUGGC